rnacentral:rRNA from 1 species
CCCUUAGAUGUUCUGGGCCGCACGCGCGCUACACUGACGAAUGCAACGAGCUUAUAACCUUGGCCGAAAGGUCUGGGUAAUCUCCAAAUUUCGUCGUGAUGGGGAUAGAUUAUUGCAAUUAUUAAUCUUCAACGAAGAAUGCCUAGUAAGCGCAAGUCAUCAACUUGCGUUGAUUACGUCCCUGCCCUUUGUACACACCGCCCGUCGCUCCUACCGAUUGAAUGGUCCGGUGAAGCGCUCGGACCGCGGCCUCUUGACGGUUCGCUGUCGAUUGGCUGUGGGAAGUUCGUUAAACCUUAUCAUUUAGAGGAAGGAGAAGUCGUAACA